UACGGGGGGGGCAAGCGUUGUUCGGAAUUACUGGGCGUAAAGGGCUCGUAGGCGGCCAACUAAGUCAGACGUGAAAUCCCUCGGCUUAACCGGGGAACUGCGUCUGAUACUGGAUGGCUUGAGUUCGGGAGAGGGAUGCGGAAUUCCAGGUGUAGCGGUGAAAUGCGUAGAUAUCUGGAGGAACACCGGUGGCGAAGGCGGCAUCCGGGACCGAGACUGACGCUGAGGAGCGAAAGCCAGGGGAGCAAACGGG
rnacentral:rRNA from 1 species